AUGAACGCUGGCGGCGUGCCUAAUACAUGCAAGUCGAGCGAACAGACGAGGGGCUUGCUCCUCUGACGUUAGCGGCGGACGGGUGAGUAACACGUGGAUAACCUACCUAUAAGACUGGGAUAACUUCGGGAAACCGGAGCUAAUACCGGAUAAUAUAUUGAACCGCAUGGUUCAAUAGUGAAAGACGGUUUUGCUGUCACUUAUAGAUGGAUCCGCGCCGCAUUAGCUAGUUGGUAAGGUAACGGCUUACCAAGGCAACGAUGCGUAGCCGACCUGAGAGGGUGAUCGGCCACACUGGAACUGAGACACGGUCCAGACUCCUACGGGAGGCAGCAGUAGGGAAUCUUCCGCAAUGGGCGAAAGCUUGACGGAGCAACGCCGCGUGAGUGAUGAAGGUCUUCGGAUCGUAAAACUCUGUUAUUAGGGAAGAACAAAUGUGUAAGUAACUAUGCACGUCUUGACGGUACCUAAUCAGAAAGCCACGGCUAACUACGUG
rnacentral:rRNA from 1 species